rnacentral:rRNA from 1 species
CCUACGGGAGGCAGCAGUAGGGAAUAUUGGGCAAUGGGCGAAAGCCUGACCCAGCCACGCCGCGUGCAGGAAGACGGCCCUCUGGGUUGUAAACUGCUUUUAACUGGGAAGAAAGAAGCCCAUGCGUGGGAAGUUGACGGUACCAGUUGAAUAAGCCACGGCUAACUACGUGCCAGCAGCCGCGGUAAUACGUAGGUGGCAAGCGUUAUCCGGAUUUAUUGGGUUUAAAGGGUGCGUAGGCGGUUCAAUAAGUCAGUGGUUAAAGGUAGCAGCUUAACUGUUUUACAUGCCACUGAUACUGCUGAACUUGAGUUGACAGAAGGCAGAUAGAAUUUCUGGUGUAGCGGUGAAAUGCUUAGAUACCAGAAGGAAUACCGAUUGCGAAGGCAGUCUGCUGCAGUCACACUGACGCUGAGGCACGAAAGUGCGGGGAUCAAACAGGAUUAGAUACCCUGGUAGUCCGCACAGUAAACGAUGAUUACUAGAUGUUGGUGCGNGCNGUGUCAGGAACGAGUAGUAAUACACGNGGAGGACGCGGCGACGUAGAAGUUAAAGUAAGUUAGAGNGNGNGNGNGCGAGCGACGACGAGGAGAGG